UACGUAGGUGGCGAGCGUUGUCCGGAUUUACUGGGCGUAAAGAGCGCGCAGGCGGUCGUCCAAGUCGCGUGUGAAAGCCCCCGGCUCAACUGGGGAGGGUCACGCGAUACUGAUCGACUCGAAGGCAGGAGAGGGUAGUGGAAUUCCCGGUGUAGUGGUGAAAUGCGUAGAUAUCGGGAGGAACACCAGUGGCGAAGGCGACUACCUGGCCUGUUCUUGACGCUGAGGCGCGAAAGCUAGGGGAGCAAAC
rnacentral:rRNA from 1 species